UUACCAUUUCUGUUGUGGAGCAUAGCCAUAAUCUGCCUGUAUUCCUCAGCUGUAAAAGUUGGGCUGUCAUUGGUUGAUUCUCUCUUCACCUCAACAUUAUUGGUUACAACUUUUUUAUUUCUAGGCUUCACAUUCUUCCCGUGCCAUUUGUGUCCAAUAGGAAAUCCAUUCAAAUAAUAGCAUCGGUCAACUGAGUGUCCUCCUUGUUCACAGUAAGUGCAUCGCGAGUCUUUGCGAUAAGAGGAGGUUCCACUUUGUGGCGUUGGUGUGCGAGCGAUCUGCAUAGCAUGGGAUAUAGGCGGAGUCUCCCUACGGAUUACAACCUCCAUUUGUCUCUCUUGUUGAAGGAUUAAUCCAUGAACUUUUCGCGUAUCUGGGAGUGGGUUCAUCAUCAAGAUCGACCCACGUACCUGCGAAUAAGAUUCGUUAAGCCCCAUUAGAAACUGCAUUACCUUCUCUUUUUCCUCUCUGACAGCAACUUUCUUCAACAUGUCGCAGGAACAUGUGAUGGGUUCCUGGUAAGAUCCUAAUUCAUCCCAAAGACUCUUGAGCUUUGUGUAGUAAUCAGAGAUUAAGAGGGAUCCUUGACGACAUUCAGAAAUUUCUUGCCGAAUUUGGUAGAUUCUGGACUCAUCUCCUUGAGAGAAUCUAUCAUGGAGGUCGCUCCAAACUGCUGCUGCCGUGUCAGAGAAGAUUACACUACGAGCUAUGUCGGGUUCGAUGGAAUGAAGGAUCCAUGUUAGCACCAGAUCAUUGCAACGUUUCCACAAUGGGAGUUUUGGGUCGUCAGCCGACGGCGCUUUCACCGUUCCAUCGAUCAGACCGAGUUUGUUUUUGGCGCUGAGGCUGAGGAGCAUUGAUCGACUCCAUUCGCCGUAGUUACCUCCAUUCAGAGGUUGGUUAACCAGUGAUAUCCCUGGUGUGUCAGAAUGGUGUAAGAGCAAAGGAUCGGGCAAUGAUGUUUCCAUCGCCUUUGCACCUUGCAAUGUUGGUUUUUCUUUUGAUUGCUCUGGAUUUUCAACCGUAACAGUGGUUUUGUCAGCCAUUUGGCUCUGAUUUUGUUGCGGAAGGGGAUUAGGUUGGGCAGGCACAAGAAUCGUGCUCUGGUACCAUAUAGAAAUGUAUGAUUGGGGAUAAAUUGUAUUAUAUAUAUUGCUUUGUACAAGGCUGCUGUUAUAUAGAUAC
rnacentral:lncRNA from 1 species